rnacentral:rRNA from 1 species
GACGAACGCUGGCGGCGUGCUUAACACAUGCAAGUCGAACGGAAGGGCCCUGCUUUUGUGGGGUGCUCGAGUGGCGAACGGGUGAGUAACACGUGAGUAACCUGCCCUUGACUUUGGGAUAACUUCAGGAAACUGGGGCUAAUACCGGAUAUGAGCUCCUGCUGCAUGUUGGUCGUUGGAAAGUUUCGGCGGUUGGGGAUGGACUCGCGGCUUAUCAGCUUGUUGGUGGGGUAGUGGCUUACCAAGGCUUUGACGGGUAGCCGGCCUGAGAGGGUGACCGGCCACAUUGGGACUGAGAUACGGACCAGAAUCCUACGGGAGGCAGCAGGGGGGAAUAUUGCAGAAUGGGCGGAUGCCUGAUGCAGCAACGCCGCGUGCGGGAUGACGGCCUUCGGGUUGUAAACCGAUUUCGCCUGUGACGAAGCGUGAGUGACGGUAAUGGGUAAAGAAGCACCGGCUAACUACGUG